UCCCCCAUUAUCAAAUUUGAUUUUUUUCCUGUUAAUCUGCCUCAUGUCAAUUUGAGGGACAGGACCUUUGAGUGGACAGGAAUUCUUGCUCCCUGACAAACUCUAAGCAGAUCUGUAACCAUGGCCAUUUUUAAUUCUUUUAUCAUUUAUAGACAGUUAAUACUUUACUUGGAUGCUUCUCCAAAAGCUUCCUGCAAAUGCGUUUCAUCUUGAGAGAUUCAUAAAAAGGAAUUUUGACAAAUGCAGGAGUCUGAUAAUUUUAAGAUCAUAAAACUGAACUGGGUAAGAAUGUCUGGAACUAAAAGAAAAACUGAAUUUAAGCAGAUCAAGAAUAACAUAAACAGAGGAGGAUAAUUAUAAGUUUAAUGACAUUCUUGUUUGAAAUACUGACUUUUAAUGUUUCAUUUUUCCAGAUUUAAGAAAAGUUUUUCUCUUAAGCUAUGAUUCACAACAAUUUAUCUUUUUCUCCCUGUCUCUGAUCCCUCUAGAAUUCAAAAACUCUCAUUGAAUUUUUAUGUUUUUUUGACAACAUACUUAUUUGGGUGAGUUCAAUGAGAGUUUGUUCUCCUUGCACAGGACAUGGUUAGAAACACGGGUUAUAUUACCAAGGCUUUGACUGGAAUGUCACAUUUGGGAGACAGGCAUAAAUUCAGAUAUGGCUAGAGAGUUUUAAGGCACUAAUGGUGAUCAUAUGGAGCCAGUAAAGCCUUUUAAUUUUUUUUUUUUCCCCAACGUUUAUUUAUUUUUGGGACAGAGAGAGACAGAGCAUGAACGGGGGAGGGUCAGAGAGAGAGGGAGACACAGAAUCGGAAACAGGCUCCAGGCUCCGAGCCAUCAGCCCAGAGCCCGACACGGGGCUCGAACUCACGGACCGCGAGAUCGUGACCUGGCUGAAGUCUGACGCUUAACUGACUGCGCCACCCAGGCGCCCCGACCUUCCAGUAAAGCCUUUUGGAAGAAGAGCCUAAUACCUUGCUUGCAGGGCUCCCAGCAGGAGCCUCUCACCAGCCCUGCAAACUGAGUAUGAACAACUGGAUGAGCACUUCAGAAAAAGCACAACAGCUCAUACGUAAACGAUCUUCGUGCCCGGUGCUCUACGGGCCACUCGAAAUGAUCACCAGAGACACUCAAGUUACAAACCAAGAAACUCCACCAGAUUGCCGCUGCCUGCCCUCUCUUUAUGUAAAGAUGCUUUCGGCGUGACAACUAGAAACCCUCUGGACUGGCUAUAUUCAGGACUCAGAAACUGGUUUUACAACUUGAUCUAAUCACUGGUCAUUAUUUUUCUUUUAAUUUCCAGAGAAAGGCCUUAUUUAUUACCUGGAUAACUGAACCACAGGCCUGUGAGAACACACUUGUAUCACCGCCUCCCGAAGUGAGUUUAACUAAAACGACCUAUCCUCAGAACUAAGACACUGGUUCAAGCAGACGGGACAAUUUAUCAGCUCAACUUUUAAAGCAAGAAAACUUCCAGGGAAGUUUCAGAAAAGGGAACCGUAGAGGCCAAGGGUAGGCCACCCCAAAAUGUGCCACUUUGGCAUACAAAUUAAAUAAAAAUUACUUAGGAAACAGCGGUUCAGAGACUCCUCUGUCACCCAGAAAGCCGGAAACACAUCUUCCAUGUGCAAAAUACCCUCCCUGUACUAAGGAAGUAAAAGGACAUCCUUGUUGCCAGAGAUAGGGACUUCAAAACAGAGAAAGCUUCAGAAACGAACCUGGUUACUUUUUUUCUAACCCUACCAACUCAGCCUAAAUUCUGUUUAGGAUUCCCUCCUAACUGAAGUUUCCAAACACCUGCUUUCUUUAUCCUGUUGAUUCCUCAUAAAUGUAUUGUCUCUGUGUCUCAAAAGAAGAAAAAAAUCCCUGCCUUGGUCAUUUCUUCAGGUCUCAAUACCAGCCACUGUGCACACAUCCUUGAUUUUUUUGUUUUUUGAUUUUUCCUCCUGUGAACCUGUUUUGUGUAAAUUUAAUUCUUUGGCUGGCUGAAAGACCUUGAAGGUAGAGGAAGAAUUGUUCCUUCCCUACAAUCUCAAUGAGGUAGGCAGGACGACGAUAAAAGAUAAAUACAA